AUAAAGAAAAACCCUUGAAUGAGUAAGUGUGUCCAAGCUUUUGACUGGUACUGUAUGUACGUCAAUUCAUCCCAGCAGCUAAUUUGAAGAAGGGUAUGCCUAAGAUAUAUCUCAAGGAGGAAGUACCGACUUCUUCCAGAGAUGUGAAUGAAUCACAAGAGCUGAGGCCCUGAACCUGAUUUCUUGACUCAGGUAAUUACAUGCAGCAGCUUUACAUCAGGUGUCUAAUGCCACCUAGUGGCAGAAUUUGAAUAAUUUCAGAGCUGAACAGUGAGGAUGAUAUAAUACAGUACCAUUUAGCAGACAGUUUUAUCCAAAGCGACUUAGAGUCAUGCGUGCAAACAUUUUACAUACGGGUGAUCCUGGAAAUUGAACCCACUAUCCUGGCGUUGCAAGUGCCAUGCUCUACCAACUGAGCCACAGGACCUGAUUAGGGUAUGAUAAUAGGUAAAGGUAAGGGGAAAUGUGUUAAUAUGGUGAAGGCUAGCCUGUUUCAUUGUUACGUCUGCAUUCCAACAGGUUUCCAACUGCACUGAUGUCAGCUCAUGUAAGUUUCCACACUAUACUCAAAAUCAUCUGCUGUUCCCCAUCUGUCUGACACUGAUAGGCUGAGUCCCAAGUGGCACCCUAAUUCCUAUAUAGUGCCACAUGAGGAAUAAUAGGGUGUCAUUUGGGACGCAGCCUGGUGGAGACUUACCUGCAGACGUGUCUUCAGCUUGUCCUGGAAACACUCACCAUGGUCCUAAGGAAUGCUGGGAAUCAUUGCCCAGUUACUCUCCAAGAGGAGGUUGCUUUAGUUCAGACGCUGAUGAUGACGAGGUGGAGGAUUAUCACCAGUGUCAACAGGGUGGAUCCUCUAAGUCACAUUCAGAGAGGUCCUGUAUCGAAGAGAUCCCUGUCCUCAGCCAGGCCUCAUCACAUUGGAACACACAACAACGGGGUCACCCUCAGUCUCAACCCACCCACUAGGCCUCAAUGCACAGGGAACUGUGGAAACGACCAGAGAGAUCAUAGAGACCAGAGAGCGUUGGCGAGCUUCGACUACACAGAGAGACGGUCAGGCUGUGUGUAGUUACAGAUGACAGUAACAGCCAGGUUAGGGUUAUAGGCGAUCAGCAUGUCCCACCUCGUCCUCUGUCUGAAUCACAGAGCUCGGCGGUCCGCCAGCAAAAAAUGGCAGCCACCAGAACACAAGAAACACGAGAAAUGGGGACACAGACUGUCACUUCGAAAUGUCCAACAUCAGAUGUUUCAACUCAGUGCAGUUUCUGGACUUGAGUGUAAAGAGAACAACCUCGUGGACUCCGAAUCCCACAACAAUUCUGCUUACAAUGUCAUACCGACCCCAACCACCAGAGGGCAGGCUAGUCACAGAGAUGAGUCUAUGAGACAACAGACAGAGCAUUAUCAGACAGAUCCAGGAGGGAGGGAGAAGAGCACACGCCCUGGAGAAAAUCAACAGCCAGAGAGCUCAAGGCUGGACCUGGGCACCACCCAUCAAUCAUCCCUUUAAACAAGUGUUGUAACACGAACACUGAGAAUAGAGUGUAUUCAGAGACCCACUACCUCUGUCCUAGACGCUCCCCUCGUCGCCAAUGAUGUAGAAGCCUUGAGAGGUAAGCAGAUGCAGCAUAGAGGACAGGAAGAAGAAUAAGAGGUACAGGACCCUGUUGAGAAUGUUCCUCUUAGAGAAGACCUUCGAGAUGAGAGAGAGGAGAAAAGGAGAGGGAGAGCAGAGGAGAGGGAGGAGGUCACUGCCUGAGAGCAUAGUUAACAGGCUUUCAGAGGAGGUUGAGACACUUCAGGAAAUAGAAGACAUUCUGCUCAUGCUGAAGCAAAGAAAAGAUUAGUGAAAAGUGAAGGAGAGGAGAGAGGUGGGGAGGACAGGCGAGGAGGGGAGGUAAAAUCCCGAAGUAUCGCUUUAAGAGUUGUGAACAACACUAGCAACUACAUCCCUUUAGCACAGGAUCUGUUUCUGCAUAUUUAAACAUUUAUAACAAUGCCCUUGGGAUUCUACAUUAAAACGAAAGCCAGACAUUGCAAGAUAAUUAGUUUAUUUAUUUUUCCCCGAUACAUAUUCAAGUGUUCAAGAUUCUCAUGAAUAUAUUUACUUUGAUAGAAUAUAAAUUCUAGCAAAACAUUUACAGCAACAAUAAUCAAAUGUAUACUAUACAGCGCUGGAUAAAUAUUUGUUUUAAGUCUUCACUAGUUCUUCUUCAUAACCUAGAAUUGAAACACUGCAUUUAAUUUGCUUUCACAUAGAAAAAAUUGCACCCGUUCACCAUAAACACAUUGGAUGACCCCAUUUAGGAAUUAAAGCAAAGGCAAUAUAAUAAUAACACAAUGGGUUGUCAAGCGGUUGUGACCGUCUUAAAAUCAAAGUGCAUUCGAAAAUCACAACACAUCAAAUAACUUGUUUGACACUAUCUCAUUUACAUGUUUGUUACAUGACGACAAUGUUGUCGCCUCUGUGAAGGGGAUGUGCAAUAAAAUGUUGUUUCUCUAAAAAAUUGUGAUAAUAAAAGCAAAAAGUUA